rnacentral:rRNA from 1 species
UGAGGAAUAUUGGACAAUGGAGGCAACUCUGAUCCAGCCAUGCCGCGUGCAGGAAGACGGCCCUAUGGGUUGUAAACUGCUUUUAUUAGGGAAGAAACCUUUUCACGUGUGGAAAGCUGACGGUACCUAAAGAAUAAGCACCGGCUAACUCCGUGCCAGCAGCCGCGGUAAUACGGAGGGUGCAAGCGUUAUCCGGAAUCAUUGGGUUUAAAGGGUCCGUAGGCGGAUGAUUAAGUCAGGGGUGAAAUCUCACAGCUCAACUGUGAAACUGCCCUUGAUACUGGUUAUCUUGAAUUUUAGUGAAGUAGAUAGAAUAUGUAGUGUAGCGGUGAAAUGCAUAGAUAUUACAUGGAAUACCGAUUGCGAAGGCAGUCUACUAACUAACAAUUGACGCUAAUGGACGAAAGCGUGGGGAGCGAACA